rnacentral:rRNA from 1 species
AUGCGCAGCUUACAAGUGAGAUGGAUUGUACUGCAACUGCAUCCAUUGAUCGCUCCUGCCCACUCCAGAAAACUACUAUUGCUGCCGGUUCCAUUGAUCGCUAAAAACCACCGCAUGCCACCGCCCACCAACGUCGCCGGCGGCCGCCACACCCUCAUCAGCUUCAGCACAAACUCUACUCUAUAUGGAUCUCCUUACCUCUCCGUCGACCCCACUCUCUCUGGCUCAGGGCCUCAGGCACGCCUAGGAAGGACGAAAGGGGCCGUUGUGAUUCACGGGUCGACCUCGCCGCCGGCGCCGCCGGGCCAGCCUUUCCCGCCUCGCAGGGUUUUCGUCGGGAAGCACCAGGCCGUCGUCUGCCGCGUCGCAGCCCCAGCCGUUCCAGUCCGCCGCGUUGGCCGGCGCCGGGGCCGCGCGCGGGCGCCGGCAGUGGAGCAGCGCCAUGCCGAGCCCGCCCUGGCCGCACCUGCCCAGGCGCGCCUGCCAUCCGGGCGGCCGGAAGGCGAACACCUCCACCGCGUCCCCGUCACGCAUGCCGCCGUGCCGCGACAGGAACAGGGACCACUCGCCCGUCAGGCGGUACGUGCGGGCGAGGCGGUCGCGCUUCAGCAUCAUGUGGUACGACCUGCCCAGGCGGUCGAACGCCGGCACAGCCAGCCCGCCGCCGGCCAGGACCAUGUGCCGCUCCCCCGGCGUCAUCGUGCUGAGCAGCGGCGAGGCCCUCACCAGGCCGUCCGGCAGGACGAGACGCGCCUUGUCGCGGCUGCGGUCCGAGAGGGUCAGCCGCUUCGUCAGCACCAGCGACGGCCGGGGGACGUGGAGGCGGUGAAGCUCGGCGCGAAGUCCGUCGUCGUCCCGGUAGACCUGAGGCUCCUCCCCGUGGAUGCCGGCGUCGCUGCCGCCGUCGCCGUCCACGGCGAGAGGGACGGGCCGAUUCCCGAACACCUCGCCGUCGCCGUGGCCGUCCCAUUCGCCUUCCUCGGUAAGAGAGCAGGGCCGAUUCCCGAACCCCUCGCCGUCGCCGUCCACGGUGGGAGAGACGGACCGAUUCCCGAACCAGUCGCCGUUGCCGUCGCCUUCCACGGUGGGAGAGACGGGCCGAUUCCCGAACCCGUCGGCGUUGCGGUCGCCUUCCACGGUGGGAGAGGCGGGCCGAUCCCCGAACCCGUCGCCGCGGCCGUGGCUGGCGAUCUCCUGGAUCGUAGAGGCCGCCUCGUAUGGGAGGCACCGCACGAGCCUCUUCUUGGGCGGGAGCAGCUCCAGAGGGACGCCGGCGAGCUCCUCACCGGGCGUGGUGUCGCAGGCGGGCAGGGUCUUCGGAGACCCACGCGCGGGCGCCAGUUGUUCGACAGAAUGCCCCUCUCUCGCCCGCUUGGCAGGGGCAGUACAAGCGAGGGCCAGCACGAUGGUGGGGAGGUCGGAGGCCGAGGAGGCUCCCCCCACCGGCGAAGUCCGACGGCGCGCCGGCUUCCGGAGGGUACGCCGUGGAGGCGGCAAUGGCGGAGACGACGAGAGACGGGACAGAUGAGAGGUGACGGGGGGUAG